GGAGGUGGGACUUCCUGUUCUGGCCUGUCAAUGGGGAGGUGGGACUUCCUGUUUUGCUCUAUACGAGGUGGGACUUCCUGUUCUGCUCCAUAUGAGGUGGGACUUCCUGUUUUCCUCAGUCCAUGGGGAGGUGGGACUUCCUGUUCUGCUCUGUAUGGGAUGGGAUUUCCUGUUUUCCUCAGUCUGUGGGAAGGUGGGACUUCCUGUUUUGCUCCUUAGGGGAGGUGGGACUUCCUCUUCUGCUCCAUAAUGGGGAGGUGGGACUUCCUGUUCUGCUCUAUUGGGGAGGUGGGACUUCCUGNNNNNNNNNNNNNNNNNNNNNNGUUUUGCUCCUUAGGGGAGGUGGGACUUCCUGUUUUGCUCCUUAGGGGAGGUGGGACUUCCUGUUCUGCUCUAUUGGGGAGAUGGGACUUCCUGUUUUGCUCCAUAUUGGGGUGGGACUUCCUGUUUUCCUCAGUCCAAGGGGAGAUGGGUCUUCCUGCUGGGGGUAGGACUUCCUGCUCUGCUCCAUAGGGGAGGUGGGACUUCCUGUUUUACUCAGACAAUGAGGAGGUGGGACUUCCUGUUUUGCUCCUUAGGGAAGGUCUGGACUUCCUGUUCUGCUCUAUAUGGGGUGGGACUUCCUCUUUUGCUCUGCAUGGGGGGUGGGACUUCCUGUUCUGCUCCAUAGGGGAGGUGGGACUUCCUGUUCUGCUCUAUUGGGGAGGUGGGACUUCCUGUUUUGCUCCAUAGGGGAGGUGGGACUUCCUGUUAUCACCUCCCAGGCAAAGACCCCACAGUUGGGGGCUGCGCUAUGGGGCUGGCUGCUAUGGGGCUGGGUGCUAUGGGGCUCUAUGGGGUCCUGGGUGCUAUGGGACUCUAUGGGGCUCUAUGGGGCUCUAUGGGACUCUAUGGGGCUCUAGGUGCUAUGGGUGCUAUGGGGCUCUAUAGGGCCCUAGGUGCUAUGGGGCUCUAUGGGGUCCUGGGUGCUAUGGGGCUCUCUGGGACUCUAUGGGGCUCUAUGGGGCACUAGUUGCUAUGGGGCUGGGUGCUAUGGGGUUCUAUGGGGCUCUAUGGGACUCUAUGGGGCUCUAUAGGGUUCUAUGGGGCCCUGGGUGCUAUGGGACUCUAUGGGACUCUAUAGGGCUCUAGGUGCUAUGGGUGCUAUGGGGCUGGGUGCUAUGGGGCUCUAUGGGACUCUAUGGGGUCUU
rnacentral:lncRNA from 1 species